AUGUGCUGGUGCGAAGUUUCCCCUAGAUACAGAUCUAGGAUCAGCUUCCCCUCCCCAAACCUAACAAGGACCAUUCGCGGGGGGAAUUCAAACCUGAUCCAAAGCCAGGGUCUAUUUGGGGAACUUGUCCCCUCCCCCACAACACUACACGUGGAUGCGGCUUCCUCAGUUCACCAUGCUCAUAAAGAAAACAGCAGUGUAUUUCAGUUGCAAGCCUGGGAAAGAACUGAGAACUAAAGAGUCAAGACAGACACCAGAAAGAGGCCCAAGAAGACUUGGACAGAGGACAGCGAGGGAUGUUCAGAACUCACUCAGUCCGGUAAGUUGGUGAGGGUACACUUCGAGACUGCUUACCUGACACGGAGGAAGUCUUUUCUUUUUAUCUCCUCUCCCUUACCUUCCCUAUGCCCCCCUCCCCUAUUGUGUUGGACCGUCAUGUGGUUUAAUCUUUUCUUUGUUUGCGAUUAGGUUUGGAGAAUGACUUCUCAACCCAAGACUAAGAGCAGCUGUGAGAAACAUCAGUUUGGAAGCAUUUGGGAAAAUGUAAAGUGCUAAAGAAGGUUCCCGGCAAAGAGGAUUGACUGUUAUGGGUCAGAGCCAGCUCUCACAAACAGAACAUGGAAAGACAUGAAAACCUGGUGCACAACAAAAUGCAAACAGAAAAGGCUCUCCGCAGCCGGUAAAAGGCUAGCAUACCACAAAGAUUAAGUUCACAUAGGUGAUUGGGAGAGUUGUAAAAGACAAAAAGCUUUUUAGACAUAGCUCCAAAAUGCAGGUGCUCGUUGAGCUCGUGAGCUAGUUCUGUUUUGUGGUGGAAAACUUAGUGUGUCGAGCAUAAUACGUCAACCCUGUUACCAAUAGAUAAAGGGGCUAGACAUUUUUUUGCAAUUUCAUUUUUUUCUGAAACGUCCAAUUCAAAAGCUUCCAUUCCCCUUGUCACAAGGAAUUUAUGCAUGAUUUAAUAUGAAACCCUGCCUCCCGAGUGGUGCAGUGGUCUUAGGCACUAGCUUAGUUGCUAGCUGUGCCGCUAUAGGUCUUUGUUCGAGUCCAGGCUCUGUCGCAGCCGGCUGCGACCCGGAGACCCAUCGGUUGGCGCACAAUUGUCCCAGCAUCGUCCUGGUUAGGGGAGGGUUUGUCUGGCAGGGAUGUCCUUGUCCUUUUGCGCUCUAGCAACUCCUGUGGCGGGCCGGGCGCAUGCAUGCUGACACGGUCGCCAGGUGUACGGUGUUUCCUCCGACACAUUGGUGUGGCUGGCUUCCGGGUUAAGCGGGCAUUGUGUCAGGAAGCAGUGCCGCUUGAUAUACGAUGUGAGCAAAUGAGGUGAGAUAAGGGAGGUAAAGGCAAAAAAGGCCAUGGUGGCAAAGUAAAUACAAUAUAGCAAGUAAAACACUGGAAUGGUAGAUUUGCAGUGGAAGAAUGUGCAAAGUAGAAAUAAAAAAUAAUGGGGUGCAAAUGAGCUAAAUAAAUACAGUAGGGAAAGAGGUAGUUGUUUGGGCUAAAUUAUAGGUGGGCUAUGUACAGGUGCAGUAAUCUGUGAGCUGCUCUGACAGUUGGUGCUUAAAGCUAGUGAGGGAGAUAAGUGUUUCCAGUUUCAGAGAUUUUUGUAGUUCGUUCCAGUCAUUGGCAGCAGAGAACUGUAAGGAGAGGCGGCCAAAGAAAUAAUUGGUUUUGAGGGUGACUAGAGAGAUAUACCUGCUGGAGCGUGUGCUACAGGUGGGAGAUGCUAUGGUGACCAGCGAGCUGAGAUAAGGGGGGACUUUACCUAGCAGGGUCUUGUAGAUGACAUGGAGCCAGUGGGUUUGGCGACGAGUAUAAAGCGAGGGCCAACCAACGAGAGCGUACAGGUCGCAAUGGUGGGUAGUAUAUGGGGCUUUGGUGACAAAACGGAUUGCACUGUGAUAGACUGCAUCCAAUUUGUUGAGUAGGGUAUUGGAGGCUAUUUUGUAAAUGACAUCUCCAAAGUUUAGGAUUGGUAGGAUGGUCAGUUUUACAAGGGUGUGUUUGGCAGCAUGAGUGAAGGAUGUUUACAUUCUAACCAGACACCUAGGUAUUUGUAGUUGUCCACGUAUUCUAAGCCAGAGCCGUCCAGAGUAGUGAUGUUGGACAGGUGCAGGCAGCAAUCGGUUGAAGAGCAUGCAUUUAGUUUUACUUCUAUUUAAGAGCAAUUGGAGGCCACAAAGGAAGAGUUGUAUGGCAUUGAAGCUUGCCUGGAGGGUUGUUAACACAGUGUCCAAAGAAGGGCCAGAAAUAUACAGAAUGGUGUCGUCUGCGUAGAGGUGGAUCAGAGACUCACCAGCAGCGAGAGCGACAUCAUUGAUGUAUACAGAGAAGAGUCGGUCCAAGAAUUGAACCCUGUGGCACCCCCAUAGAGACUCCCAGAGGUCCGGACAGCAGACCCUCCGAUUUGACACAUUGAACUCUAUCAGAGAAGUAGUUGGUGAUCCAGGCGAGGCAAUCAUUUGAGAAACCAAGGCUGUCGAGUCUGCCGAUGAAGAUGUGGUGAUUGACAGAGUCGAAAGACUUGGCCAGAUCAAUGAAUAUGACUGCACAGUAAUGUUUCUUAUCAAUGGCGGUUAAGAUCGUUUAGGACCUUGACUACACUCAAUAAGUAGGAGUAACUUACAAAAAGCUCUGGACAUAGGUAUUUUUUUAUGACUUGAGGAGCCUGUUCUCGGCUAUACUGGUCUGCAUUUCUGCCAUGCUGUCUUUAUUUUCGGCCAU
rnacentral:lncRNA from 1 species